AAUCGCUCUCCUGGCAUUUCUAAUUAAAGGCAAGUGGGUGAGCAGAGAGGGGAGGGUGGAGGGGCAGCACAGAGCAGGGAGGGGGAGUCGGGCCAGAAGCUGCGAGAACAGGAACCCCCGAGCGUGCGAGCCUGUGUGUAAGAUGCCUGUGCCGCGGCGAGCGGGCUGGUCACCGCGGGGCCUGAGUGGAGCCGCGAGCCCGCGACCGUGUCUGGGUGAGCCCAGGCCUGCGUCCGAGGGCCCUGCUCUGGAAAGGCACGCGAUGCGCCAGCUGGGCAGGGACCUCGCUCGCACACCUGCGUUGUGUGUGCGCGCGCGCGUGCACACGCAUGCGGUGGGAGUGCCAGAACCAUCACUCGAGUGACCAGGAGCCACCCCUCCACUUCCUCCCACGGUUGACAAAGGCCAUGUGGCCCCUGGGGGCCGGCACCCAGACCCAGGAGCCCUGACCAGCUGGGCGGCCCAGGCAGGAGACUGGAAGGGGAGGCAUCCCCUUUGUGGGGGGGGGCAGGCAGGAGAGGGGAUCUUAGGGCAGCCCAGCAGGCAGGGCUGGUCUUGACCCAGACCCUUGGUGGGCCAUCUGCGUGGCCAGCCCAGCCUGACGUGUGGCGGGGGGGCACGGCCCAGAGGCUGCAUUCGCGAGGCCGCCGUGACAGGUGACAGGCCACAGCCACUGAUCCGGGAACACCUAGUUGCUACCAGCUUUCGCGCCAGAAGCCCUCAGCACACCCCACACUGCAGCCUCAGGCUCCACUCUUCCGCCUGCGCGAAGGGGCCUGGCCAGCUCCCAUGCCUGAGGUGGGGGCUGCCCCCGCCCUGCUCCUCCGUGCCCCCCUCCCACAGGCAGCCUCACCCAGAGCAGGACGACUCAGGGCCACAGGCCGAGCGCGGCAGGUGGAGCGGGGAGCCAGGCCUGGGCCUGGAGGCGGGGGGCCUGGGCUUCCCCAGCUCUCAGAACCAGGCUGGUCUGCUGCUCCUCAGGCCUGCCAGCUCCCGAGGUCUCGCCUGCCUUAGAAGAUGGGGGCUUUGCGGGGGAGGGUAGGCAGGCAGGGUGACCACAGGAGGGUCUGCCCAGCGCUGGGAGCCACGCAGCCCCCAUUCCAGCCCCUCUGGGGCUCUGCCCCUCUGCCCCUAGGGCCCCGGGCUCCCAGACCCCAGGUGAUGCUCUCCUGAUGCUAAGAUGCUUAUUUCGACGGGGGUCUCCCCGCAAGUCCACAGCCUCAGGAAACCCACCCCAAACAGAGCCCUGGGUGUCUCCACUUUCCCCGGACAGCCCCCGCCCUCCCAGCAGCUGCUGCCUUCCCAGGGCUGCUCUGUGACCAAGUCCUCCCCAACGGGGCUCACACACCGGCCUCUGCAGACCCCUCAGUGCCAGUCCCUGGGCCCCCAGAGGUGCUGGAGGUACCCCUCAGCAGGGCAGAACAGGCCGUGCAACCCGAGCUCCCUCCCCGGCCCUCCUGGGGGCCGGAGCUGACCUGCCCUCGAGCAGGGCCCCGGCCACAGUCCUGCGACUCCCAGCCUCACGUGAGCACCCAGCACUCCCAGGAGCACCUUGGGGCGGAGCUCCCGCACCUCCCGCACUCACGCUCUCCCGGCCAUCUGCCCAGGAGCCACUGUGGCAGCUGCUCGCGGAGGAGAAGCUGGGCCAGGGCAGCUGUCCGCCGCUCAGUCUAACCUGACCCUUACUGCCUGGCUUUGGCCUGGGGUCCAAGUACCCACCCUCCACAUGUACCCACUGCCCGUCCUGCGCCCAGGGGGACCGUCCUGGGUCACGUGGCCUCAUCCCAUCUCCUCGUGCCCGCCGGGAGCCUGCCCCGUCUCCCCGCAGCGGGCCGCUCCUUCCUUCGGCCCAAAGCCAGGCCUCCCGCGGUGCUGCUUCCCUCUCGCUGGCCGCGACUCUGGCACCAGGGCCCGUGUCUGCACCUCACAGCUGAGUCGCCGGAGCCUGGAACAGACCACACAUUUGGGAUGAGCUGUGGAACGGACAAAGUUAUGGGCCCUUCUCCCUCCCUUGCUGGUUGGGAAGCAUUUGGCCGUUGGCCACCUGAGCCUCAACUUUCCACCUGUAAAAUGGGGUGACAGUGCCAGGGCCUGGCGUCCAGCGAGGCCGAGUGCUGGCCCUCUUGCCUCACCCGCUCCCCGCCCGAGGACUUCCCCCACCUCGUCCUGCCGACAGCCUCCCGUCAGAGUGUCACCUCUGGGAUCUGGGAGGUGGGACGUGGUCAGGACCCCCUCCCUGUGGCCCCUCGGGAGGGGCUGCAGUGCUACUUCCUUGCUCUGCCCCCGAGGCAGCACUGGGGCCAGGGACAUCUGUGCAGGCCCCGGUGAUGAGGGGCGAGCAGCGGUGCUGGGGGAGCAACUGGCAGAAGGGGUCUGAGCCUAGGCAGCUGGGAGGAUGCCAGGCCCCCUGUGGGCCUUCCCCGCCAUGGCCAGCGUCCAGCCACCACCCUCCUCUGAGACCACCUGCAGCGGGGCCAGACCGCAGGGAGGGAGAGACAGGGACGGCCGAGGGCUCGGACACAGGGUUUAGAGCUGAGAUCGGGAAAGAGAGCGUCCAGGUGGGAGAUGGAGGGGCAGCGAGAGGGAGAGACGCCAGGGCUGGCGGGCUCCUGUCUCGGGAGAUGUUCUCCCUCAUCUCACAGAGGUUCUGCGAGGUGGGGGCCCUCCCCAAGCCCUGAGCCGGCAGGUGACACAGCUGGGGUCCCUCUGCCACACCUGCCCAAGAGGUCUGCUGCAGCAGAGCAGGCCCUGAGAGACCCCGGGAGGCCAGGGCAGAGCGGGGAGGGGUCUCGGGAGACCCGGCAGGGCAGGGCAGGGCACUCGCUGACCUGAGACGGGAGCUGCCCAGGGAGGGGGCAGGGCCCGCCUCGGGGCCGUGGGAAGCAGCAGGCGCUGGGCCACGGGGAGGCUGCAGGGACAGUUUUUCCCAUCCUUGCCCCUCCUCCCGGACUUCCUCCUCUCUCCCGGUUUGGCAGGGUGCGGGCUGCGUCCUGUCCCCGGAACAGGCAGCCUGUUCAUUCCGGGCCUCCACACUCCAGACUGUCUUCCCUCCUCCCUCCUGCCUUAGCGCCUCCCGGUCCGGUCUUCAAGGAAAGUUUUGUAUUUUUCCGAUGAUCCUGGCACGGCGGUGCCCGACCCAGCUGCUCCUUGCAUCCUCCAGGCCAGGGGGCCGAGCCGCGGGGCCAUAGGCACAGGUGUGGGAAGCCCAUCCUCAAAGGACCUUCAUUCCUCACCACCCCCAGCCAUGGUAGAAGGGAAACCAAGGCCCCGAGAGGGUCUGGGGCUGGUCUGAGCCCCUCAGCCGGGAAGCCAAAGCCAGGAAAGGCUGGUGCGAGGAUGUGGGGAUGGGCCCGCCAGCUCCCGGAGGCGUCGUGAGCACGGUUCACCUCCUGCGUGACUGCGGGUCCUGAGCUUGCUCUGGGCACAUGGAGUAGACAGACCCCUGCUUCCUACCCUGAAGAGUCUCCGUCCGGCCAGAGGUGCCCCAUACCCCAAGUGUGCCAGCAGCCCAGAGGGGCCCUGCCAGGCAGGGACAGCCUGAGGAGCAAGCACAGUGCGCCAGCCUCCACCGCUCACUUCCGGAGCCAUAAAAGGAGCGAGGCUGAGAAUAGCUCGUGUGACGGCGCGAGGAGCUUCCCCACGCAGGUGCAGGCAGCAGGCUGCGGCAGCGAAGACGAGCUCUGUCCCAGCUCCUCCCUGGCCCGUGGUCCCUCCUCCAUGCCCUCUGCUGCCUCUCCCUCCCCGCCCUGGGGGCUGGGGCCUGAGCCCCCAGCCCUUCGAGCUGCCUGCCCCACCUGGCCGUCUCGUCCACAGGCCACCUGGUCCAGCUGAGGGCUCCCUCCUGGGCUCCUGAUCCCACAGCCGCCGACCCGGGUGCCCUGCCCAGCUGCAGGCUCCUGGGCGACCCCAGGCUGGCAUCUUCCCCCACUCCCCCCGCCCCCCCCGAAGGUGGGCACCUCCCUGUCUGCUGUCGGCCUCUCAGAUGCCAGGCAUGGGCCACGAUGAUCUUCGGCCCUCAGGGGCCCAGGGUCUGCCGGGCCUCAGCCUCCUGGCCCCAGGUCUCAGCUCGACAUAUCCCCGGGCUGCCCCACAGGGUGCCUCGAUGGGCAUCUGUCCCUGGGGCACUGUCCGCUCCCUCCGGCUCUGUGCUCUGCCGUUGCUGCCGCGUAGUUCUUACUAACUGAACGAAGGGCCUGUGCUUCUGUUCUGCCACGGACCCCGCCAGUUAUGCAGCCGGUCCCACCUGCCGGGGUCGCCUUCUUGGUUCUGGGGUCUCUCUGGAAAGAGGAUCGACACAGAAGGCGUGCGGGAGGAGGGGCCCCACUGUGUGCUGAGCAUUUCCCUGUGCCUUGGAACAGGCUGGGCAAACCACCUUUGUCAGCCACUCUACAGAUGAGGAAGUUGAGGUGCGGAGAGCGUGGGAACUGUGCUUGGGGAACCAGCUGGUGAGCAAAUGACCGAGACUCCUGGCCCUGAGGCCGAUCCUGUCUGACUGUCCGCUGCCAUCGGCCACUGUCAAAGUCCAGGGUCGGGCUACUCCGGACACCCUCUGAGCCUCAGUUUCUUCAGCUGAUGGGGGAGGGUUGCCCCUCGGAGGUUCAGGGUGGGGGGCGGGUCAGCAGGACCCCUGACCCGCAUGCCUUGUUCCCAACCCGUGUCCCCUCUUCUGCAUCCUUGGUCCUAAGAUCCGUGUCCAGGCAGCUGCCUGACCAGGGGGUGGCAGCAACCUCUGGAAGCGCUCCCUAGGGUGGGGGGGCCGCCAUGCCGGGUGGCUGGGGGAGCCCAGGGAGGGUGAUGACGUCUCGGACAUUCGCCUGCCCUACCACGUGCUGGCACUGUGCCUCUUCCUGGUUUGGGGGUGCCUGUCUGAUCCCCACAAGCCAGUGCAGACCCCGGAGGCCCGCACAGACCACUAGGCUCCUUCCCCCAUCCCGGCACAGCACAGCGCCCGCCUCCUCCUGUCCCCGCCUCCCUCCCCUGGCUGAGCUCCAGCCGGCUGUUAAGACUGUGACGUCCCAAGAGUCAGGAAUCGCCUGAGAUGGCCGAGGAGCUGGGUGCACAGCCCAGACUGCCAUGGGUGUCCCCGCCCGCACCCCACUUCAUGGAUUCUUCUAAACACACCCUCACUCCUCCCUGGCCACGCAGACUGGGCGUCAGGCCCCCGGGCGGGGGCGGGGGCGGGGCAUCACGUCAGGGGACGGGCCCCUAAGAGAAGGCCCGGCAGCAGGGCUGGGGGGCCGCAGGCUCAGGCCGGGUUGGGCCUCAGAGCGAGGAAGGGUAGAGCCAGCCGUCCUGGGGGUCGGCGCUGCCCACCAGCUCUGGAAGCAGGCUCGCCCCGCCCCGUGCUGGCGCCGGCCCAUGACUGCCCUAUGGACAGGUGUCCUCCCUGGAGGUGCCGCCCUUGGCCCUCAGCUGGAGGUGAGGAGCCUCUGGGACCCCUCAGGUUUCGGGCGGAGGCAGGGGUGGGCUCCAGGGCCCUCCCCGCCACGGCCCACUCGCCCAGACCCACGGCCGCCCCUGCCCUCUGCUCCCCUUCUGCCUGGGUCCCAGCCUGGUGAUCUCCCACCACCCCUCCCUCGUUCUCUCCCUCUGUCCGGUCUCUGAAUCCAGGCCUGGUGCCCACUGGCCCGGCCCCUCAGCCCUCCUGCAGACGGUGGUCUUUGUCGGCCCUGUCCUUGUCCACCCAGAAGGAGACCAGGCCCUCCGGUGUGCACUGCCUCUAGGGCUGCGGGGCAAACCACAGGGCAGAGAGGAGAGCUGGCGGGGAGGCCCGGAUGCGGCCUCUGGGGGCAGAGGUCUGAGCCCCAGCCCGGAGGUCGGGGUGAGGUUUCAGGGCCCUGCGCUGAGAAACGGGGGCCUUUCCACAGACCCCCGGCCCAGCCCCCAGCAGGCGUCCGCAGGCCCGCAGGUCCACUCUGGUAACGGCCCCAAACACCCCUCCUCCUGGAGAGGGUGGGGGACACUGAGACCGACUGGGGGCUGCUCCGCGCUCUCCGCCCUGACGGCACCGCCCAUCCCAGAACCAGGCUGUCCCCAGGGCCCUGUGUACCCCCAACAGGUGGGGCUUGGGGGCUUGGCUCCCUCACACCAGGUUGGGGCAGAGACUGGGGAGCCUCGGGGAGGAGUUGAGACACCCCUAGACACUGGCCUCUCCCCUCCCCUGCAGAGUCAGGACUCCCACACGCUGCCCUCCCUCCCAGGCCCUCCUCCCAGCCCAGCUCGGCCCCAGGACCUAUCCGAGCCGGCCUGUCACCCAGCAACUUACCGCCUACCACCCGCUUCCAUGGGCAGGGGCAGCUUGGGGAGCCGUCCAUCUCCUGCUACCCCAGCCCCUGCCGGGGGCAGCCAAGUGGAAAUGGGCCCUCCAUUUACAGCCUAAGCACCGCACGAGGAAGCCACAUUCGCUGAACUGGGCAGGCGCCGCAUUUUUCUAAAUAAACGUAAAAUGCCA